rnacentral:rRNA from 1 species
UACGUAGGGGGCUAGCGUUGUCCGGAUUUAUUGGGCGUAAAGAGCUCGUAGGUGGUUCGGUAAGUCGGAUGUGAAAUCUCCAGGCUCAACCUGGAGGGGUCAUUCGAUACUGCCGUGACUAGAGUUCGGUAGAGGAGUGUGGAAUUCCUGGUGGAGCGGUGAAAUGCGCAGAGAUCAGGAGGAACACCCGUAGCGACGGCGGCACUCUGGGCCGAUACUGACACUGAGGAGCGAAAGCGUGGGGAGCGAACAGG